CAUGGGUCAUGGCUUUUAAUAGGGAUCCAAGGCGUCCAACCCAUUGAAUUGCUCUACUGAAGCGCGCAUUCAACGUUCUCCAUUGAAGCGCAGUUGCCGUUCUCCGUUGAAUCUAGUUCUUGUAUCCCCCAUUGAAGCAGCUUCUUAGACGUCAGUCCUGCAGUCUACAGUCACGUAGUCAUGGGUGACAAAGGGGAGGCUUGUGCCGAAUGCUCCCGUAGUUGUUCGUCUUUCCAUAGGACGAUGCAUGAUCCUUACCCAAUAGUUUCCUCAUUCUUCAAAGUCAUGUUUGGCAACCUAUUUUCUGAAAUACUGUUUGUACCUCCUAGAUUUGCCAAAACUGUCAUAGCAUUGGAAGGCAAAUACACCUAUCUAGAGGAUCCAACAGGGCAAAAAUGGAAAGUUAAUCUUUCUAAUGUAAAUGGCUCUCUUGCAUUUGAGAAGGGAUGGCAUGAUUUCUCUGUGGAUCAUGGCAUUGAGUUGGGUGAUUUGGUGGUAUUUCACUAUUUCAAGGGAUCAAAUUUUAUUGUUCAAAUUUUUGGUAGAAGUGGGUGUGAGAAGCCAAUGAUUUACAGUGGUAUGGACUAUCAGAACAAGAGAGCUAAAUUAACCAGAACCGAUCCCUGUGAUUCGCUGCAUAAUAAGGAAUCAACACCAGCAAAAAAGUGCUUAGAUUCUGGCAUGGAAACUGGGCCUAAUGUUGAUGUACAUAAUGUGGAAAAAUCGCCUGAGAUAAGAGUAAAUGUUUCAAGGGAAGGAAAUAUCAAUAAACAGCCUGAAGAAGUUCCUACAGCAGAUCCUCUGGUGGAGUCAUUGUUUAUUAGCGACAAAUACAUAAAUUGCACUAGUGAAGACAGUAGGAUCGAUCUAUACGAUCUAUCCGUCUUUGAGAUGCCUGGAAAUAAAGCUGAUGCUGAUAAAAUAAGUACGCUUAUGGAGUAUACGUGUUCUGAAGUUCCUAGCGCGUUGCAAAAAAAUCAAAGCGAAGAGGUCUCACCUGAAAAUUUCCAAAUAACUGAAACUAUGAAUGAGACUUCAAAUGAAGAAGAUGCAUCAAGAAAGGAAUGUUUACCGCUGCUCAAUAAUACUGUGUCAGGGGCCGAAGUGCCUCUAGACAUUUAUAUGCCGCUGAAAUCUGUCACACUGCCACAUGCACCUGAAUUCUCAUCUCCAGCAGCUCCUGUUGAGUGAGUUGAGCCUCCUUGUAAAGAUUUGAUGAUAUACAAGCCAGAACCAAAGUCUGAUAAAAUUAUUUGUGGCCUUGAAGCUAAAAUUGUUUCGCGGGAUAGUGAAAUCUUGUUUACCACUAAGGGUCAAAAGGUUAAGAAAGAAGACAUUGGCAGUCACUCUACUUCUAUGGGUAAAAAUAAAGGGCGUAUUGACAUGAUUGUGAAGCUAGAAGAACCUGAAUUCUGUGAUACUCCAUCUGCACAAGACAUCAAAAUCACAUGUUUAGUGCAGCAAGGCAAUGAAUCUUUCCUUGAGUUACCAAAGCCUUUACCUUUAAAGAUAUGCAGACAAGGUGAUAGUUUGGAACAGAAUCUGGUAUUACUUCGAGAUCCACUUCAAAGACUUUGGCCAGUUAUAUACCAUCAGAGAAAAGGCUCUGAGGUUUUGGCAAAUGGGUGGAAAGAAUUUAGGAAGGCUAAUUGCAUUCAUCCUGGUGAUGAGUGUACUUUUGUAGUCGAAAAUAUCGAUGAGGGUAUAAUCCAAGUCCAUAUUGUUUCGCAGUUAGCUGAUUAAAUUUCUGCAAGGUAAGUUGAUUGUAGUUGUCCAAUACUCUUUCUCUAGAACCAACUGAAUUAACUUCAUUUGCUGCGCUGUUGCACAUAUAAAAAGAGCAGAUCAUGGUGGGUAGACUGAUAUUACUCUGUAAUGGUUGAGUCUACUGCUUUUUUCAAGUAAAUUCGAACAUACGAUGUGGUUUUGUGAACGAAUUCAUGUAAAUUUUAAUCUUGGUAUACAAUUUAUUUGUAUGACAAGCUCAAUUUGAUGUGUGUGUACAAAUCCCCUUAUGCUUUAACUGCAUUGAGCAUACCAUGCAAAUUGUUUUGUUAAUGACAAAAAUUUUCAUGAAUUAUUUUCCAAUCACGAGUUUUAUGAAUUACUUUGAACUUGUCAUCACACAAGAAUAGCGCGGCCAAGAAAUUAUAACCAUCUUGUAUUCCAGUAUUAAUUACUCUCUCUAUUCGUAAAUGUUUGAACCCUUAUAAAGAGAGGAAGUAUAGCGUUUAGUACUCCGUAUGAAAAAAAAAAAAUACAAAACAAAAAAUUGCUUUUUAUUUUCUUAAAAUAAGUCUACACCUUUUACUUUGGUGUUUGGUGU